UAUAAUUCCCCACACUUUUCCCAGACUGGUC
rnacentral:piRNA from 1 species